rnacentral:rRNA from 1 species
GCAGUCGAGCGGACAGAAGGGAGCUUGCUCCCGGAUGUUAGCGGCGGACGGGUGAGUAACACGUGGGUAACCUGCCUGUAAGACUGGGAUAACUCCGGGAAACCGGAGCUAAUACCGGAUAGUUCCUUGAACCGCAUGGUUCAAGGAUGAAAGACGGUUUCGGCUGUCACUUACAGAUGGACCCGCGGCGCAUUAGCUAGUUGGUGGGGUAAUGGCUCACCAAGGCGACGAUGCGUAGCCGACCUGAGAGGGUGAUCGGCCACACUGGGACUGAGACACGGCCCAGACUCCUACGGGAGGCAGCAGUAGGGAAUCUUCCGCAAUGGACGAAAGUCUGACGGAGCAACGCCGCGUGAGUGAUGAAGGUUUUCGGAUCGUAAAGCUCUGUUGUUAGGGAAGAACAAGUGCGAGAGUAACUGCUCGCACCUUGACGGUACCUAACCAGAAAGCCACGGCUAACUACGUGCCAGCAGCCGCGGUAAUACGUAGGUGGCAAGCGUUGUCCGGAAUUAUUGGGCGUAAAGGGCUCGCAGGCGGUUUCUUAAGUCUGAUGUGAAAGCCCCCGGCUCAACCGGGGAGGGUCAGUUGGA